rnacentral:rRNA from 1 species
AAAUUGAAGAGUUUGAUCAUGGCUCAGAUUGAACGCUGGCGGCAGGCCUAACACAUGCAAGUCGAGCGGUAGCACAGAGAGCUUGCUCUCGGGUGACGAGCGGCGGACGGGUGAGUAAUGUCUGGGAAACUGCCUGAUGGAGGGGGGAUAACUACUGGAAACGGUAGCUAAUACCGCAUAAUGUCGCAAGACCAAAGUGGGGGACCUUCGGGCCUCAUGCCAUCAGAUGUGCCCAGAUGGGAUUAGCUAGUAGGUGGGGUAACGGCUCACCUAGGCGACGAUCCCUAGCUGGUCUGAGAGGAUGACCAGCCACACUGGAACUGAGACACGGUCCAGACUCCUACGGGAGGCAGCAGUGGGGAAUAUUGCACAAUGGGCGCAAGCCUGAUGCAGCCAUGCCGCGUGUGUGAAGAAGGCCUUCGGGUUGUAAAGCACUUUCAGCGGGGAGGAAGGCGUUAAGGUUAAUAACCUUGGCGAUUGACGUUACCCGCAGAAGAAGCACCGGCUAACUCCGUGCCAGCAGCCGCGGUAAUACGGAGGGUGCAAGCGUUAAUCGGAAUUACUGGGCGUAAAGCGCACGCAGGCGGUCUGUCAAGUCGGAUGUGAAAUCCCCGGGCUCAACCUGGGAACUGCAUUCGAAACUGGCAGGCUAGAGUCUUGUAGAGGGGGGUAGAAUUCCAGGUGUAGCGGUGAAAUGCGUAGAGAUCUGGAGGAAUACCGGUGGCGAAGGCGGCCCCCUGGACAAAGACUGACGCUCAGGUGCGAAAGCGUGGGGAGCAAACAGGAUUAGAUACCCUGGUAGUCCACGCCGUAAACGAUGUCGAUUUGGAGGUUGUGCCCUUGAGGCGUGGCUUCCGGAGCUAACGCGUUAAAUCGACCGCCUGGGGAGUACGGCCGCAAGGUUAAAACUCAAAUGAAUUGACGGGGGCCCGCACAAGCGGUGGAGCAUGUGGUUUAAUUCGAUGCAACGCGAAGAACCUUACCUGGUCUUGACAUCCACAGAACUUUCCAGAGAUGGAUUGGUGCCUUCGGGAACUGUGAGACAGGUGCUGCAUGGCUGUCGUCAGCUCGUGUUGUGAAAUGUUGGGUUAAGUCCCGCAACGAGCGCAACCCUUAUCCUUUGUUGCCAGCGGUUCGGCCGGGAACUCAAAGGAGACUGCCAGUGAUAAACUGGAGGAAGGUGGGGAUGACGUCAAGUCAUCAUGGCCCUUACGACCAGGGCUACACACGUGCUACAAUGGCAUAUACAAAGAGAAGCGACCUCGCGAGAGCAAGCGGACCUCAUAAAGUAUGUCGUAGUCCGGAUUGGAGUCUGCAACUCGACUCCAUGAAGUCGGAAUCGCUAGUAAUCGUAGAUCAGAAUGCUACGGUGAAUACGUUCCCGGGCCUUGUACACACCGCCCGUCACACCAUGGGAGUGGGUUGCAAAAGAAGUAGGUAGCUUAACCUUCGGGAGGGCGCUUACCACUUUGUGAUUCAUGACUGGGGUGAAGUCGUAACAAGGUAACCGUAGGGGAACCUGCGGUUGGAUCACCUCCUUACCUUAAAGAA